ACAGAGUAAAUGUGGAAAUUGGUAGCAUUACGUACAACAUGCAUAAUAAAUCUUGGAAAUUUCCUUUAAAUAUUUUGCCAUACUAAAAACUUCAAAAAGCCCUUUGAUUGAAACAUUUGGAUAAAUGCUCAGAUGUCAAUACAUCUCCUAAGAGCAUUAGAAAGCGGUCCUUGUUAAUACUCUUACUUACACUGUUAAAGGAGAAUCUUACUUCCUGAGAACCAGACUAAAUCAUCGUGUUUUUCACUUCACCUUGCUUAAAUAAACAGAGCUGCCAAAAUCUGAUGGAUCUUUCAUAACGCCAGUACUAAAAAGCUUAGUAUAAGCAUGUGAAAAUUCAAAAUUUUCAGGCUUCCCUUAAAAAGUAGGUUUGGCCUUUGUUCUUGUCUUCCUCAAUAACUUGGAUCUGAAUGCUGCAUUAUUUUCCAGCUACAACCUAAGAAUGGUUUACAUUAUCAAAAAACUUUACCUAUGGGAGAAAUAGACAGCACAAGCAAACUAUAUUUGUGGAAAAGUGGACUCCUGAUUAAAUAAAAACAGAUCUUAAAAAGAGGAUGUAGAAGCCUGGGAUUUUGAGAAAGGAUCAGAGGGACUAUCACGAAGAGUUUAAAUAUGGGACACAGAUGAAGACGUAAAUAAGUUACGGCGAUAAUUUGUCAAGAGUUCCAGCUGUCGAUCUUCACCAGAUGAAUCUUCUCCAAUUACUGGCGGGAGUAUUUGACCCACCAGGCGACUUCCCUGAGUUGAACCACUUUUCUAAUGAUUCUAACUGUGGACAGUCCAAGUUGGCCAUAUGAGAAUUUGAACACGGCGGUGAUUUCUGAACAGUGUAGAUCAUGUCCAUGUGUCUGGCUGGACUUGUUUGCCCUGUGUCCAUUCCUUCAGCCUAAUUGAUUGUGACUCAAGUGGUAUUCUUUUGAAAGAUGAGGCCCAGACGGCAGUGGGUGAUGUCUUCAAUUUCCAACCAAAGGGCCCUAAAGGAGCCAGAACGGAUUUCCAGGAUCUCUCUUUAGUAGCUGGGACUCUUUAGGGCCUUGAGUUUGCAGAAAAGAAGAUAAGGACAUCUUGGUUUAUAGAAGAUGAGACAUCCAAAUUGACUUUCUGAACAAGGCUUAUAUAAAAAGGUUUAUUUGGCAAGUCUGAGAUAAGCUGCUCUGGUUGUUUCUGCAUUAGCUCUCCCCUGGCGACUGUCUAAAGAGCCGUCAUGCAGAGUUUUAAUUGAAUCUGCCUAACACUCUCCUGGAGAUUAAAGGUAAGUGUUUCCAAGAGGAAAGAAAAGUAAUAGAAGAGAAGAGCUUAAAGUCAGGUUGUAAGAUUUCAAGAGAAAGGAGUAGAACAAUCGUGGAGUAUUUACGUCUAUGACGAUAACAGCACAAACCCUACCAAAGAAAUACUUAAUUCGGGGUUUGUUCUCAGGGAAACUUUCUCAGAGAUGGACAGGGGAGAUCGAGAGUAGCCAUUUAAUCAUUCACUAAAUGUCACCUACAAUCAUAAAAUGAAUUUCCAGGAAUACUAUCAUUUAAUCUCAGGACUUCAGGCAAGUAUAAAAUUGUUUAAAGGAAAGAAAAGAAAUCAUAAUUAUUUUUAAACUGGAUGAACUUUGAUUCAAUUGGUCAAGGUGGUAGGCUAAAAAUUUCUUAGAAGGGAACUUCUCUUCUGUUUAGAACACCUUAACGAUAUGUAUAUUUAUGAAAGAUAAUGUCAAAUGAGCAUAGAGAAGAUGAAAGACUUUAAAUAAAGAAAAAAUUAAAAUCUUCAGCAUAAUAAAUUAAUAAACAGUCUUCCAUUUUCCCUUGGCAGACAAGGAAGACUGGGAUUUUCUCAUAUCUUUGAAUAUUUUUCCUAUUCCAAUUACUCUCUUCCCGUUUUUAGGUUCACUGACAACAGAUAUAUAUGUAUAUCCUUUGUUUGCAUUCCUUAGUAGAAUAUAUCGUAUAAUCAUUUUUAUUCCAUUGCUCUAUUUCAUCUCUGAGAUUAUAUGUUCACCAUGAAA
ensembl:lncRNA